rnacentral:rRNA from 1 species
UUCCAGCUCCAAUAGCGUAUAUUAAAGUUGUUGCAGUUAAAAAGCUCGUAGUUGAAUUUUGGACCUGGUUGAAUGGUCCCGCCGCAAGGUGGGUACUGUUUGAUUGGGUCUUUCUUUGCGGGGAAUUAGUGUGCUCUUAAUUGGGUGCAUUAAGGAUCCGUAACUUUUACUUUGAAAAAAUUAGAGUGUUUAAAGCAGGCUUAGGCCUGAAUACAUUAGCAUGGAAUAAUAGAAUAGGGCCUGUGUUCUAUUUUGUUGGUUUCUAGGACGUAGGUAAUGAUUAAUAGGGACAGUUGGGGGCAUUAGUAUUUAAGUGUCAGAGGUGAAAUUCUUGGAUUGCUUAAAGACUAACUUCUGCGAAAGCAUUUGCCAAGGAUGUUUUCAUCG